UUUUUUUUUUUUUUUUUUUUUUUUUUAUUUAUUGUGAAAAUAACUUUUUUAUUUGUACAUUACAGGCUUUCACUGUCUUUUCGACUGUGAACAAGUAACACACAACGACAUGACUAACAAAUCAAUACUAAAGUUAUUAUUAAAAACAAUAUAAUACAAGCCUCGUAAUAAAAAAAAUUGGAAUAUAAUUUAGUAUAUAGAAAUAUGUAUCAAUCAAAGAAAGAGAAUAAAGAAAGAGUUUUUAUAGCUGUAAAGCUUGUAAUUAAACGAGGCUAAUCAAUUAUAUACAAUUACCUAAAAUUAAACUAUAAUAAAUAUUAUAGCUAUCACAGACGUAAAAAGAAAUUGACACUAUUAUUUUAUGCGUAUCUAUCACGUACUCUCGCGAACAUUUCCGCGCUGUUCACUUUGUUGGGACCCUCGUUCUUGCCGAAGAAGGUCAUCUUUGUAGUUUUCACCAUUCCUUUUCCAUCAUCACCGGUCCUCCUCCAAUACACUGUUUGGACAGCGUGUCUGCCAGCGAUGUAUCUGGUUGCACUUCCGAUGAGUUGUCUCUUAUCCAUCUUUUCUUCUUAUCCUCUUUUUUCAAAAGUUUGAAGACUAUUCAAAUUUUCGAAUAGAAAUCGAAUGUCCCAAAAGAACGAAGCGCGUACAAAAAAGCUUCAACAAAAUUGAUUAUUCGAUAUAGCCGUGAGAGAGCCUUUUUCGACUGUUCCUGAGCCUACUCAGCUAAUGUAUGAUAAAAUACAAAUCACCGCUCUAUAUAUACGAGGAGGACACGCGGCGCUUUGACGUAUAUUUUAUCAACGUGUAAGCAAUGCAAAU
rnacentral:misc_RNA from 1 species